rnacentral:rRNA from 1 species
AUAUCAAUAAGCGGAGGAAAAGAAACCAACCGGGAUUGCCUCAGUAACGGCGAGUGAAGCGGCAAAAGCUCAAAUUUGAAAUCUAGUACCCUCUGGGUGCUCGAGUUGUAAUUUGUAGAGGGAUACUUUGGGGCCGUUCCUUGUCUAUGUUCCUUGGAACAGGACGUCAUAGAGGGUGAUAACCCCGUGUGGCGAGGAGUGCGGUUCUAUGUAAAGUGCUCUCGAAGAGUCGAGUUGUUUGGGAAUGCAGCUCUAAGUGGGUGGUAAAUUCCAUCUAAAGCUAAAUAUUGGCGAGAGACCGAUAGCGAACAAGUACAGUGAUGGAAAGAUGAAAAGAACUUUGAAAAGAGAGUGAAAAAGUACGUGAAAUUGUUGAAAGGGAAGGGCAUUUGAUCAGACAUGGUGUUUUGCGCCCUCUGCUCCUUGUGGGUGGGGGACUCUCGCAGCUCACUGGGCCAGCAUCAGUUUUGGCGGUCGGAUAAAUCUGUAGGAAUGUAGCUUGCCUUCGGGGAAGUAUUAUAGCCUGCGGGAAUACGGCCAGCUGGGACUGAGGAAUGCGACUUUGUCAAGGAUGCUGGCAUAAU